GCGCAACAACCCGACGAAAGUGAAAGGUACGGCGACUGCCUGUUCUGCACCUGGUUUCUCCACCAGGGGAGCUUACCCCCUCCCCUCCCCCCCACACAGUGAAUCACUGGUAGGGCGAGACAUAUCCAGCGAUAUGUGCUUGUUUCUCGGGCUGCCUAGCUCUGUCUGGGCGUUGCUCGGUAUCGAGUUUGUCGAGCGUCUCGGCUACUACGCCGUUGCUUUUUCUCUCUUCACUUAUUGCACCAUCAUGCUCCGGACAGGCCCGGCGGCGGCGAAUGCGCUGAUUAACAUCGUUUACAUCCUCGUCCCCGGGGCAGCGUUCCUUGCGUCGGGUGUGGCGGAUAGCCGGGUUGGUCGACCGCGUGUGCUGGCCACUGCGCUGGCCGUCUACACAGCCUCGCUGCUCCUUUUGUGCGUGUCGGCUACGCCCUGGCUAUACACCGCCUUCCCUCUCGACGCGAACUGUGGUAGUAAGGCGCUGUUUGCUGUGGCACUGCUGGGAUUUGGCGCCGGGUACGGUUCUAUGAAGGUGUGCACCAAUCCGAUCAUGGCGGACUGCGUCGUGCUGCAUUACCGUAACGCCCUCAUUCGGCUGCCAACCAUCGUUGACGCCGGGAGGGCAGAGGCGGCGGAGAGUGCUUCGAGUGUUUCCAAUGCUGCCGAUCUCUCCACACGUCAGAUAGCCUCCUUGCCGGGGGCGGCUCGCGAGGGUGUCGCCGCCGAUGCGGCUGCCAAAGUGGGUGACGCGCCGAAGUACGAUGCUUCGCUGUACGGCUCCACCACCAAUGCAGACACCACCGCGUCUCUGUACGAGGAGGAGGACGUGAAGGCGGCCCUCUCCCGCCUGUUUGUGUACGCCUACUGGGUGGGAAACAUCGGCGGCCUUGCUGGAGGCUUUGUUGCCCCACUCUUGCGCAAUUUCGAUAGCCAUCGCCUCUCGCAGGGCGGUGAGGAGCACACAACCGGCUACUACUACAGCUUCCUGCUAGCGGCCUUGUCGGUCGGCCUCGGCGGCGCUUUCCUCUACGGGCGCUUUGACUGGCUGCCUCGCAACGCGCCAGCACCCAAGUUUGUGCUCGUUCGCGUGACCGUGCUCGCGCUGCAAAACAGGUGGGCGGUGCUGCGAGGCAGUGCGCGAAUUGUGCCCGACAGCCGCGGUGGCAUCUCGAAUCCCCACGACUGGCUAGAUUAUGCCUGUGCCAAGCUACAGUCGGUUUCAUCUGAGACAGGAGGCACCUCUGCUGCCCACCACGCCGUCCCUGACGAAGCCACUGCGACUUCCGAGUGUUCUACCUUGGCUGCGUGUGGUCCGAGCAGCAGCACCUCCGUUGCGGACCUUGGCGUCGACGCCGCUGGCACCUCGCUCUGGGUGGCGGACUGCCGCGCGACGCUGCGAAUCUGCAAGGCCUUCAUUGCACUGCCCAUUUAUUGGCUGAUCUGCAAUCAGUUCAGCACAAACCUCAUGUACCAGGCCGCGGCGCUGGAUAUGCCCCUGACCGUGCCUGAGGAGCUUUUCAACAACGUCAACACCGUCACCAUGCUUCUCUUCUUGGCUCUCUGGGACCAGUGGCUGCUUCCGCACGUGCUGCGGUACCGUGUUCCCUCCGCCUGUCUUCGCAUUCUGGCAGGCUUUGCGUGCAUGUGCGUUUCCAUGCUUUGGUGCGGCUUCUUACAGUGCUCCAUCAACAGCCGUGGCUACUAUGAAGGCGAGGACAACUACAUUCUCCGCGAAGGUCAACAGAAGCUGUCGGCGGGGUGGCUGGUAAUGCCGUACAUUCUGCAAGGCUUCGCCUCUGCCUUCGUAGACCCGACUGUGAUGGAGGUGGCGUACCACGACGCCCCGGAGCGGAUGAAGGGGACCGUGAUGGGGCUGUACUGGGUCGCCUCCAGCGCGAGCGGCUUUCUCGGCUUCGUUCUUUCACCGGUGAUGAGGCCGCAGAACGCAGCGGCACUCUUCUUUUCCUUCGCUACGGCUCAGAUGGCCGUGUCAGUGCUCUUCUACCUCAUCAACUGCAGCCGCUAAGGGAGUGUGUGCCUCUGCAUUGUGUUACAGGCCACAUGAAUAAGUCUAUGUCUUUUUGUUCGUUUAGGCGCACUGGCGCCGCCCCGAGCACGCGCACGCACUCAUCGAGAUUCGUACGACUGGGCACGCGCCACGUCACGGCGACAUCAUCACUGCCUCCGCUGGUACGUUCACCUGCAUAGGCCCGCGGCUCCCUCUCUCCCUUAUGCUUCACAUCAAGACAUCUACAUCAUUGACGGCCGACGAGCCGGGUGUAGCCCGAGACGCUGUCACGCCGCCACCUCGACCACCUUUGUCGCCUUUCUCCGUGCUACAAUAUUCGCUGUGGCAGCAGUGCUCACAUUUACCUUUCUGCGCCUUUGGUGCCUCGCCGUUGUGCUCAGCGAAGGAAAGGCGAGAUAUAGGGGAUAGAAACGUGUGCAAUGGUGGUAUUGCGACCCUUUUCCUUCUUCCUCUUCUCUGCUUCAUCGGCACGCGCUCGUGUUGCCUCUCUCUCUGAGAUGUAACGACAUGCUCGUCACACGUAUGCGUCUCCAGUCGCUUUCCCUCUGGUCUUCCGCAACUCGCAGGGUACGUUCGGCGGGAUGGUUCACAUGCGCUCAUGUGUGUGUGUGUGUGCCCCCUUCCCCCCAAAGGACCAAGAGGCGGAUUCGAUUAUAAGCGUGCACCGCAUUGC
rnacentral:misc_RNA from 1 species